rnacentral:rRNA from 1 species
AGAGUUUGAUCCUGGCUCAGGAUGAACGCUAGCUACAGGCUUAACACAUGCAAGUCGAGGGGCAGCAUGGUCUUAGCUUGCUAAGGCCGAUGGCGACCGGCGCACGGGUGAGUAACACGUAUCCAACCUGCCGUCUACUCUUGGACAGCCUUCUGAAAGGAAGAUUAAUACAAGAUGGCAUCAUGAGUCCGCAUGUUCACAUGAUUAAAGGUAUUCCGGUAGACGAUGGGGAUGCGUUCCAUUAGAUAGUAGGCGGGGUAACGGCCCACCUAGUCAACGAUGGAUAGGGGUUCUGAGAGGAAGGUCCCCCACAUUGGAACUGAGACACGGUCCAAACUCCUACGGGAGGCAGCAGUGAGGAAUAUUGGUCAAUGGGCGAGAGCCUGAACCAGCCAAGUAGCGUGAAGGAUGACUGCCCUAUGGGUUGUAAACUUCUUUUAUACGGGAAUAAAGUGGAGUAUGCAUACUCCUUUGUAUGUACCGUAUGAAUAAGGAUCGGCUAACUCCGUGCCAGCAGCCGCGGUAAUACGGAGGAUCCGAGCGUUAUCCGGAUUUAUUGGGUUUAAAGGGAGCGUAGGCGGGUGCUUAAGUCAGUUGUGAAAGUUUGCGGCUCAACCGUAAAAUUGCAGUUGAUACUGGGUGUCUUGAGUACAGUAGAGGCAGGCGGAAUUCGUGGUGUAGCGGUGAAAUGCUUAGAUAUCACGAAGAACUCCGAUUGCGAAGGCAGCUUGCUGGACUGUAACUGACGCUGAUGCUCGAAAGUGUGGGUAUCAAACAGGAUUAGAUACCCUGGUAGUCCACACAGUAAACGAUGAAUACUCGCUGUUUGCGAUAUACAGUAAGCGGCCAAGCGAAAGCGUUAAGUAUUCCACCUGGGGAGUACGCCGGCAACGGUGAAACUCAAAGGAAUUGACGGGGGCCCGCACAAGCGGAGGAACAUGUGGUUUAA